CAACCACAGAAACUUUACUUUGGAUGGAAGUCCAAAAGCAGAGGGAGGCUGACCUUUGAAUUUGCCAGCAGAGCCCCAGGAAGUUCAGAGAGUUAGUGGGGGGAAAGUAGGUUAAGUGGGAAGUGAAAGCCAUCAAUCACUUCAUUCCCCAGUGAUGGAAAAAAAGGAAAGGCUGGGUUAUACCCCCAGGAAACAUGCCUGCUUCUCGGCUCACUGCAGGGGCAUACCCACUAACAAAUGCUCGACCACCUCAUUAUUUAUAUGGCCACAAAAGUAAGACUGAGAGGAAAAAUACUUUCAUUUUUCACCAAGCAAUCACCACAGACACAGCAUCAGAGAGUCUUCAGGAAGCGGCAUUCAUCCCAGGGUGGCCUUACCAUGCAAAGUGAAAUAAAGACAGCAUCCAUCUCCGUCUCUGUCUCCGUCUCCGUCAGACUGUGCUCAGUGAGGCAAGCUUUGAGUGGACUAUAACAGGGAAGCACCUGUUGAGGCCUGCUGGGAAUCGGUUACUCCUGCUACCCGGAAAGAACGAGAAAAUAGCCCUGGAUAAAUAACAAUCUCUCUGAGGCAUGGCUGUCUAUGUCCACUUUCUGAUUGCUUCCUUCAACCAGAAAACAAGAGGGCUUUUGUUUGUUUGUUUGUUCGUUCAUUCGUUCAUUAUUUUUCCUGGCUUGUCCCAGACAUGAGCAGUCUGUUGACUGAUCCCAGACAUGCACAGUUCCUGGGCUUGCAGGCUGACACAGUACACACUUCUGUCAUUUAUAGAGUAAAAACCAAUUGCAAGGAAGCAAGGCGAAAGCUUAGCACCCCCUCUUUGUGGGCCCUCUCAUUCAAAAUAUAAGUCCAAGAUGGGAAGGAAAGCCAGCUCCUGGUUUCCGGGGGCCUUACUAAUGGUUUCUUAUUUAUAAGGAGUUUUCUUGCUUAAAAUCGAUUUUAUUAAGUCUGGCUUCACAAACCUAAAAAAGGUGGGGAGAAGAAUGUGCUAUAACUUAAAAGUCUGGGACUAGAAAACACAGGGAAUUCCAUGUUUUUAUCCCUUAAAUUCCCCGAUUUCAUAAACUAGGAACUUAUUUGCUCAUUUCAUUUAGAAAGGGUUGCACUUAGCCCAGACUGGCCUGGAGCUCGAUAUGUAGACAAAGCUGUCCUUGAGCGGCUGUUCCUCCUGCCUCUACCUCCUAAGUGCCAAGAUUUCAAGUGUAUUUCACCUUACACACCUAAAACAAGAAUUUUUAAAUUAUAUUUUUAUUUAUUUAUUGUGUGUGUGAGGCUGAGAGGUUGAGGGUGUGUGUACACUGAACAUUUAUUCAGUGGUGGAGUAUUUACCUAGCAUUCUUUUUUUUUUUCUUUCAACAAAAGCAAGUCUGGUUUAUUUGAACAGUUUCAUGAAACGAGGCUAAAAGGUAGCAAAGAGAAGCAAGCCCAAAGCUGAGUCUUACAAGGUGCUCCACACCCAGAGUUAGCACAAACUGUACAGUUAACGGCUCCUGAGAAACCCCAAGGUUUGAAUUCAGUUUUAAACAGUGUGCAUUGUUAAAUAACAUAAGAAAAACAUUUAUAAUUCAGAAAGUUCUUUUUAAAUGUGGAAAAAGAUACUCUAUUAGCUAGCAUCUUUGAGGUUCUAGGUUCAAUUCCUGGCCCUGCAGUUAAACUACUGAGAGGGUGCCCACUUCUGCCGAACACCUGGGAUUUAUCAGCUAUACUCACUAGCUGGGUUAGACAUCAAUUGAUUAGCAUAUGUACAUAUUAUAAGUCCCAGCACCAUACUGGCUGGUAUAGAGAACAGGUUUUUGAGGCUAGAGAUGGCUCAGUAAUUAAGAGUUAAUUGCUGCUCUCUGAAGUGGCCUGGAGUUGGAUUCCCAGUGCCCACAUUGGUCAGCACACAACUGCCUGUAUCUCUAGCCCCAGGCGAUCUGAUGCCCUUUCUGGCUUCUUGGGGCCCACAGUUACAUGGGGUAUACUCCCAUAGACACAUACACCUUAGGAAAAAUAAAAAUAAAUAUUUUUUAAAAGGAAAAAAACA
rnacentral:lncRNA from 1 species